CACGAAACCCCCGGGCCCACCUCGUCCUUCCACCCACCCGCUGCCAGGAAAAAACCUGGAUGAGCAACCAGGAGCAGACACUCAACCGAGUGAAGUCCACCUGGAUGGAGCUGUGAACUCUGCAGGUUAGUGCAGGUCUGAGGCACAAGAAGUGACUCUUUUUUCACAGAAAGCAGGAUAGAUUUUGUUCAGCCUGACGGAGAUUCCCAGCACUCUGCUAACUGCUCCAGUCUCCCCUGCCACUCCUUCCCUCCUGAGCUUGGUUAUCUACUUAUAAAGCAAAUUGCCUGUGCCAGCAGAAGGUGUGAAUUAGCCUUGUCUGAAGGGAGGGAACUACGGGGUGGGAUGACCAGUUUAGAAUCAGUUUCUGAUGUUUUCUCUGCAAAUCCACAAAUGAAAUUAGCUUGAACAAACUGGAGGAAAACACAUGGUCCAGGCACCCUGGCCCUUGAGUAAUAAUGAGCAACAGCAGGCUAUGCUUCAAGGGGAAAAAACCCAAAACAGUGGUAAGUGGGUACAAAAACACCCUUCAGGAGAUCCCUGAAGUCAUUCAGCUCACAGUAUGUGUGGUGCAGAGGAUAUUUGCAAGGGACAACACAACAAGGAUCCUGGAGGGUUCCUGGGUGUGAUGGCACUUUUGGAGCAGGGUGUGAGUUUGCAGGGAGGCUGCUCCCAAUGUGCCCAGCCUGUGCCAGUGCUAGAAGUGCUACACAGCCCAUGGGGUGUCAGGGAAACCCCGUGCGGAAAGAGGUGAGGAAAGACUCCUUACAAUAUCCAUUUGCUUUGAGCUCUGACUUUGCCUCUUCUUUCCUUCAAAGACUGUUCACUUUAUUCUGGCACUUAAAAAUGAAUCGAGCAGGUUAAAGGUCAGCUUUAUUAUUUUUCUUGGGUUAAAGAAGUUUAAGCCAUAACCCAGGGAGCCUACCUAUGCCAUUUGGGAAAGAAAAAUCAGCACAUUAAAGCCAGUUAUUUUAGGUGUCCACUACAGCAGGGAAGAUAUUAUGGGCUACAAAAUCAAAUAUAAUAGUGACCCUGGAUGUACUGGAAUAGCCUCUUCAGUUUUUGUCUCCAUUCUAAGCUUGCUGAUUUAAUUUCUUCAGAAUCCAUAAUUAUAUAAAAGAAAAUCAGGGUUAUCAUUAUUAUCUUGCCAAAAUGUUCAUUCCUUAUGCAAUAACUCCUAUAAUGAUUCUACCAGAAACGGGGAAAUACUCUUCUGGGUAUAGGAUAGGCUUAUGAGGGGCUAUCUGUAGAAAAAGAAAAAUAACAUCUCUAGGAGUUUUGCCAGUAACUUGAACAACAGUAGAGCUAGGCUUAUGCUGACUGUUUUAGAAAAUUCCAUGUUUGAUUUGUUAAUGACCAUUUGUAUGACAGAGAACUGCAAGCCAUUUAUCUUCAGAAAUAAAUACUCAAAAUAGAAGAAGAAAACAGGACAUAGCCAGGCAAGCUGUGGUUUGUACCAAAGCUUCAUAUUUGCAGAAAGACAGAUAUAUAAUAUUGCUCAGUUUUUUCAGGAAAACCACUACUGAAGCAUUUUUGCCAACCUUUUUGAGUUCAUGUCAAAAAAUAGUACUGAAAAGUGACCUUUGGGGAUUUUCCUGGGUAGCAUUUCACUGUCAGAUAGAAAGCCAUGGCCCUGAGUCAGCAAGGAACAGGCAGACCUACCUUUAAACAUGUGAAAGUUAUUUAUAGGAGUAAUUUAGUGAAUCAGGGUUCAUAUGAGAGAAAUAACUGGGAAAAUUUCAUAGAAAAGACUAAAAUAAAGGAAAUCCUGACACUGUUACAUUUGAAAUGUAACAUGGACCCUCUCCCUACCCUCCUUUUAAAAUUAAUGCAUUAGUUACAGCAAAACUCUUCCUAAUAAAAGUGCUGGAAGAUGGAUUUAACAUGGUUGCUUACCAACAUGGUGGUACAUUCACAUAAUGGUGGAGUAUGAAAUGCAAGCAAAGCCUCCAGAUAUCAAUAGAGAACAGAUUAAUGGAGACCUUUCCUCUGCAACAGCUAGCUGAACUCAUAGUUUCCUAAAUGCUGACAGGCACCACUCAAAGAAGCAGCCUCCAAGACCUGCAAGGCAGAAGAGUGCCUACAUUAGCUGUGUCCUCAUAGGAACCACUCAUUCUCUAAAAAUCAAACCUCCCCAGGGUGCCUCAAGUGGGACACUGAGGAAUCGUGAUAGCUAAAGCUUUUCUAAAACCUCUAGCCUGAAGCUACAAUGAAUUAGUCCAACACAAAAAGAGAUAUUUCUAACAAAACCUUGUCCAUUCUGAUGAAAGACAGUAUUUGUAAUCACUGGUAAGAAGACCACAUUCGUUUAUUUUUUCUAGUUCUUCCUCACCCCUCAAAACAAGCUGAAAUGACCUUUCAACAACAGUUUGUUUCUUCUUGGCUUGAUCUGAACAAAGGCUUUCUAUUCUAUUCACAUGCAUGUGAAGGAGAGUAUGGAUGCUUUAGUGGUGAAACACCAAAUCUCUCCUUUGAGCUUUGCAGGCUUUCUACUGUCCUCUCAAAAACCAGUCAACCAAGUGUUUGUGUGUGCUGAGGACUGUAUAUACCAGGGCAGGGGGCUAAAUUAAUUUACAGCCUUCUGAUGCUUCCAACACACUUUCAUUCAGUGGGCACUUAGUCAGUAUAGCCUCACAGUAUUUCUGGGAAUUUGGCACUAGACAUGGGACAUUCAUGCAGGCAGUGUGGACAAGCUUUGACUGGUCAAAACUGAUGCCGCUUUUGUUCCAUUCCUCAAACUAACUUGAGCUUAGUUUAUAUAACUGGAGGACCUUGCUUCAGCUUUCGACCGAGGUUUAAAGGGAGAAGGCAGCUAAACUAAUGCAGGAAUUCCUGUCUCAGUAGUACCAACUUUGGCAGAAGAAAAGCCAGAUAACUUUGUGGUGGAACAGCACAGCUUUAAUGAAGGUUUAAUGAGUGUGUUGACAAAAAAGGGCUUUUCUGCUGUUUGAAGCAAUCAGGUUUGCUCUCAACAAGUGUAUUUUCUGAAAUAUUUUUAGAGAUGCCCUCUGUGGCUGGGGUGCUUUUGCAGGUGUUUGGGAGCGUGUUGAUGUCAGAGGGGAAAAUAUGCAAAUCUUCCUUUGUUUGCAUGGCAGAACUUCAACAAAAGCUGUCCCUGACAGCCCCCUUAAAGCGCAUUGAGGGCUCAGAUCUCUCUCUCGCGCUAAAGUUGCCUUUGUCCCAGGGCCCGCCCUCAGCACGUCAGCCAGCAGGGUCCCAUUCUCAGUGCAACUCUGAUCCCACUGCAAAUGGUGCCAAGGGACAAAUCUGCAUCUCUUGUGAGCAAACCUAACUAUUUGUACUUGCCCAGGGAAAAGAAAUAAGAGAGGAUCCAGUAAAUCUGCCCCCAUUUCAGCUGGGAACAGUAGGAGGAAAUUAAUUUAUUCACUCAUAUCCAGUGCAAGAGAAGAUUGUCCCUCUAUUUUCUCACCAAGAUAAAUGUUGCCCUUACUCUGCCAUGUUUUCUGUGAUGAUCAAUAGUUUCAUUUGUUCCAGAGUUACCUGCCUAAGUCAUUGCUAGAUCAGGAUAAUAAUUGGGAACUUUUCAGAAAACAACAUUCUGGCUGUAGUAAAAAAGCAACUGCAGUUACUUCUUCAUAGGCUAGGUGAUGUUGUUCACGUGCAACUCAUCUGGGCUUUUUGUGACUUCUCUAUUAAUGUCAAAAGAGGACAAUUUCCAUGCCCACCCAGACUAGUCUGGUGGGAUACCCUGGGAUAAGACCACACCAGAAACUUGACCAAAGUGUCAUUCCCCUUUGAAAAGGACAGAUUUAUUGAACUGUAACACUCAGGUUCUGGGCUGUUGAAAGCUUUGCAAGUGUCUUGUUUUUCCAAGGGGCUGGAGCUUCCUGUCUUCUAUGCAGUACUCACAGUCAUACACUCCUGAGAAAUUAAAAACAUUUUGGUUUCCUAAAAAAUCACUGUUGAUGAUAAAAUUCCUAUUCAGCUGAAGAAUUGUAAAUUUCCCCAAAAGUUUACAAUGCCCUGGUGUGUCAGUAUUUUGGAAGACCCCAAACAGUUAAGGAAAAGCUCAAGAUUUCAGAGUAUCUCUGUUUUGAAAUGUCCAGCCUGAGGUCCAGUAAACCUUAUCCUUUUAAGCACAUGGGACCACAUCUCAGGCUGAAGUCACAAAGAGCAGAUGGUGGCCAUCAGUUUCAAAAGUUCAGAUGUAGGCAGCUGAAAUUGGCUUCUCAGAAACAAGUAUUUCUAACACUACUUCUGAAAAUACAGAAUUCCUCAUAUGGAGAGAUCAAAACGUAAGCACAUGGGGCUGAAAGCCAUUCCCACUCAAUCCAGUCACAGUUUCACAAUGAUUGGAAUUUGGUUUUUAAGGCUGGAUGCUUGUCCAGGUUGGGUCACCAUCAGUUUGCACCAUCUGGGGAUGUAAUACUUGUCUGUUACCCAUUGCCUCUUUCCACCCUGACACAAUUUUGUCCUGGGAAUGCAAGGGUCUUAACUACCUUGGGGUUUCUAAGGCCUGGAGCUAACUGAACAUUCCUUGUGGCACUGAGUUGUAUGGGAAUUUAGCAAAGAUCUCUUCUCAGGCAGCAGAUCCCUUGUCUCAAGAAAUCUUUUGAUUAAAUCGUCAAGCUGUGGGACGUGCAGCAAAAGAGAAAACAGAGUUUGAGGGAACAUUUAAAGAAAUAUUUUUGACAAUUCCCAGUGCAGCUGGGAUGAUGACACACACUCUGGUCCUAGCAUUCUUGCCUGGCAAGCGAGGACUAGGGCUUUAUAUGUAAAUAAAAAUAUAUUAUUUACAUAUUUUCUAACAUCUGUUAUGAAUUUGUUUUCCCUUUGGUUCUAUUUAAAGUAUGUCUUGUCCUGUUAUCUCUGAGGCUGAAAUUUUGAAGGAUUUCUUAAUAAACUAUGUUUACUGCAGAGCUACAAGAAAUAUUCUCCCUCCUCCACAGCUUUUUUGAGUCCUUCUAGUUAUUUCUUCCUCAUAUUUUAAAUGCAUUAGCAUCUCCCCAGCCUAUGAAAGGAGCACAGUUUUCUUAGUGGAUUCCUGCUGGGAAGGGUAUAAUCUCACCACUAACUUCCAGGGAUUUAUAUUGGGUCAGUCUAACCCAUUUGUCCUGGCAGCCCAGCUUUAUAAUUGUCCUGCAGCUUGGUGCCUAUUUCAGAGAGCUCCCUACUCUUAGCUCAGGGUUCCAUCCACAGUUUCUGCAUCCUGGAAGAAAAGCUGCCUGCUGCAAAGGACCAGUGCUGGAGCCACCACUGCAGAGAUGGAUCUCAGUGACCUCCCAGGCCAAAUGAUGCCACAGCCAGGUUCAGAGCUGCAGAAGGACCUUGGGAGUAAAGUUCAUUCAACACACUGUCCUGACAGGAGAUUUAUGCAGUCUAUGGAGCAAAGCUAAACAGGACAGCAAGCAGGAUUUGGACCACAUGAGAGAGAGACAUGCUUUAUUUGUGUUAAGUAAAUAGGACAAAGUGAAAAGGGAAAAGGCAAAAAAGAAAAUGUCACGGCGGGUCGAUGCCAACAUUCCCACAUGGUCUCUGAAAGUAAAGGCUUCCGUGCAGGGUGCUCAUUGUGUGUCACAUUGGGCAUUGAUUUUCAGAGGUGCUCUGUGUCAAAAAAACCUGAGUUCACACUAGCAGUCAAGAUGCUUUGCUGAAUGAAGAAGUUGGGUGAUGUCCUGACCCAGCAGUGCACCUAUAGCCAGCACCCACAGCUGAUUUCCUUAUUUUGACAGCAGUCACCUAUCUAACUCCUUUGUGGCCCUGGGCCUGGUGCAAUAGUCAGUGUGAAUUUGAGCUGGGAUGAGGAGACUUCUGGAGAUUUGUAGAAUUGUCUUGUAAAAUGCUUUUCCAAUGAACAAUUAAGCAUAAGUGCAAAUAAACAUAAUUUCCUUUAAAAUUCA